UACGAAGGGGGCUAGCGUUGUUCGGAAUUACUGGGCGUAAAGCGCACGCAGGCGGCUCGAUAAAUUAGAAGUGAAAGCCCCGGGCUUAACCUGGGAAUUGCAGUGGAUACUGGCAGGCUGGAGUACGGUAGAGGAAGGUGGAAUUCCCGGUGUAGCAGUGAAAUGCGUAGAUAUCGGGAGGAACACCAGUGGCGAAGGCGGCCUUCUGGACCAGUACUGACGCUCAUGCACGAAAGCUAGGGGAGCAAACAGG
rnacentral:rRNA from 1 species